GUAAAAGUGGCUGCAGCUCUGACUCAACUUCAGUAUGGAUUGGAGUAAAAUGGACACAGAAUUAUUCUACAGACACUUUGCAUGCCUCAGGACCCUGGCUUGUGCAGUUUGCACAUCCACAUCUUACUCCACAAAUGUAUGCCCUAAUUCGGCAGAUGUCUUGCAGGGCCAAUUGGUUCAUUUCGCUCCCCACCGAAGUCUACUAAGAUAAUUAAAGAUAAACUGGGUCGUGACAUUGUAUCUUUGGGCAAGUCCCAAAUAUGCAACAACUUCAAUGCAGGUACUUGUGGUUUUACUGCAUGCAGACUAUAGCACAUAUGUUCCUAUUGCUUCCAGGCUCAUGCCAAGUCCAUGUGCCUGAAUAAAAUGUUCCCUAAACCCUACCUCACAACUAUUAAUAGUGUAUGUUUUGCUGAACUAUUGAGGAGCCACCCUUCCCAACACUUGGUUAACUUUUUAGUUGAGGGAUUAUCACAGGGGUUUCACACUGGUAUCAUUCACUUGCCAUCUGGUACACUUGAAUGUAAUAAUUUACAGUUAGCCAUAGCUGAUCCAGAAUCGGUGGAUAAACUGAUAAAGACUGAGUUGGAACAGGGAUUUGUUCUCGGGCCUUUCAGGUCCCCCCCCCUUUCACUUCAUGGAGGACAAAUCCAAGGGUUAGGGUAAGAAUAGAGUGUGAGAGAGGUUAGAAGCACUUACCUAACCCUAAUUUGUACCCUCACUUAACCCUAAGUGUCCCGUGUGCCUAAGCUUAGUGAAUGCACUAACUAUAAUGAAAGUCUAAAACUUGUUUUACUUACCUUCCAGGACCUUGCUGUGGAGGAGUAGCAGGAGUGCUAGCACGCAUGUGCAGCACAGGAUCCAGCUGAUUCCCCUCCCCGGAAGUGACGGGGGUAUAGCAAUCUGACGGAGUAUAGCAGACUGAUAGAACACCGGGACAUGGCUCAGUUAAACUGAUAUUGUCAGUGCAUUCAAUUUACUUCCUAUUCACCCCUCACUUUGGCAUUUGCACGGCAUUAAGUCGCAGGGCUUAUGUUAUUUUACUUCAAGGUUCACGUUCGGUUCCAAGGGUAGCCCCAAAAUAUUCUAUAUUUUUGCCGAAACCCUAUGCUGGUUGCUACUUAAUGUGUGCAGAUGCCCGACUGUUAUACAUUACUUAGAUGAUUUCUUCACGAUUGAAGACAACUCUCACGCACCUCAGAGUCUCACAGCUGCAGUCGGUCUUUUUGAAUCCCUGGAUAUACCUGUCUCCCCCAAAAAGACAGAAGGUCCUGAUACGUUGAUACAUUUUCUGGGUAUUAAACUAGACUCGGUUAAAAUGCAGUCCUGUCUUCCUCAUGAUAAAAUUGAGCGAAUAUUGUCAAGUAUUGACCUAUACUUACAAUUGGGUGUCAGCCACUCACCAGUUUUUUCUUACUUGUAUUCACAUCCUGGGGGUCACUAAUAUAUCCGCUGACCCUUUGUCUUGUUUCCGCUUGCAGGCAUUCCACGAGACUAUGCCCACUGCUUCCCCUCUGGCUACUCCUGUCCCUCCAUUCCAAGACAUGUUAAUGGUUAAAUGUAUUAUUAUCACACGCACAGAACCGCACCCACUUGGCACUCUCGGCUAACACAAGGAAAUCAUACGACAGGGCUUUCCCCCUUUUCACCAAAUUCACUACUGAUUUUCAAAUUCACGACAUGUUUGUGUCACAUCCUGUUCCUAGCUGCAGGUCAUUCUGGCAAUGGCUUCUGGUAUCCAAUACUCUUUUGACAAUUCUUGUUUAGUUUUUCUUGGUUUUUCUGCUUUUCUAUUCCAUGUCUGGUUUUCUAGGUUCAUUCCUGUAUUCCAUUCCUGGAAUUCCCAGUCUCUUGGAUUCCAUUAAAUGUUUGUUUUAUGUUGCUACACCCGUUCCUUUUCCAUGAUUCCUUUUGUUUCAGUUUGUUCCUGCAGGCAGUUGCUCAAGUCUUCUGCCCUUUUUUGCAGGUAAGUGCUGUAUGUGCUUUAUUAUGGUUCAUUUAGCAGACAUUAGGCAGUUAUAGUAGGACCUGCCAAAUAUGGGGUACAUUGGUGUUGGUGGCAGGCUUAUGCAAUGUAUGAUCAUAUAAUGUAACUAGAUCCCCAUAGUUUUUCACAUAUAGUACUUAGUUUGUCUCCUCUUGUUUUGCCUAUUAUAUCUUGUCUUGUUUUAUUUUGUCUUGUAUUCACAGUUCAUGUACAGUCCUGUCCUGCCCUGUUCAUGUUUCCCUCAUGUCUUGUGUACAUGUUCUGGGUUCAGCUUUCUGUCCUGCUCCGGUUCUGGGUUCUCCUAGUUUUGUCUUGUUUUCAUGUUUGGUGUCUGUUUUAGUCUUGCCUUGUUUCAGUACUGGAUACAUUCUUGCUGCAGAGCCUCCCUAUUCAGCUCCUGGUAGGUCUGCUUAACUCCAAGCUCCUAGUUCCUGGGAUCCGCUAUCAGGGUCCUGGUAUGUGGCCACACAAACGCUGGUGCUCAACACCAGGGGGCAUGCGGUUACCCUGCACCACACCCUGCUAAUCCACUUCCACACUGUGACUCCUACUUUAACAUCAGGCAUACUGGGUCCCGGUCGUCCGACCGCCGCCCAGACAGUGUCUGGGUCCCGGUCACCGGAACGCCACCCUGACAGUUUGCAAUGGAGUCUUUAUUAGUUUUUACUUCUUUUUGCCACCUUCAGCUAAAAUUAUCCUAUAACACAAUCAAACUCUAACUAACAGGCAUUCAACAUCACAUGCUGAUACUACACCUUACUUAACAAAACAGGAUUCCUAUCCUCUUACCAAAUUAAAACCUUACUGGAAGGAAUAUAGAAAUCCAACACAAUAUUACCCUCUAAGAUACUACCAAUCCAUGGUAAACUGUUCCAGUCCCUAUCCACUUUAUUAGACACAUCUCCUUUUGAACCAAUUACAAAUAUGGUAAUCAAAACUGCCAUAUACCUAGCUUUUUACGGUUUCCUAAGACCAAGGAAAUUCACCUCUAUCAAUCUAACUGCCACAGAUUACAAUAUAGCUAGAAAUAUAAAUAAAACCAUGGAUCACUACAUCCUGUCACUCAACCACUCUAAAACAAGCCAGAUUGGACGCCCGGUCAAUAUACCUUACCUAUAACAAAUGGUGCCCAGUUCAGGUAUUAGACAAAUAUUUCAGCACCUUUCAAAAACAACCUCACCAACCACUUCUUGAAUUACAUGGUUUCACACUCUUUAUGCUGUACGUUCGCAUGCUAUUAACUAGGCUUGGAUUUAAUUCAAAUCACUCUUCAGGUCACUCUUUCCGCAUAGGGGCAUCCACACCUGCCUCCUCUAAUAACACUCCAGCACAUAUCAUCAAGAUAAUGGGACGCUGAAAAUCAUCCACUUACACCUUAUAUAUACCUGAAAUGGUUAAAGAGAUUCAUCAG